AAGUCUGACGGAGCAACGCCGCGUGAGUGAUGAAGGUUUUCGGAUCGUAAAGCUCUGUUGUUAGGGAAGAACAAGUGCCGUUCGAAUAGGUCGGCACCUUGACGGUACCUAACCAGAAAGCCACGGCUAACUACGUGCCAGCAGCCGCGGUAAUACGUAGGUGGCAAGCGUUGUCCGGAAUUAUUGGGCGUAAAGCGCGCGCAGGCGGUCUUUUAAGUCUGAUGUGAAAUAUCGGGGCUCAACCCCGAGGGGUCAUUGGAAACUGGGAGACUUGAGUACAGAAGAGGAGAGUGGAAUUCCACGUGUAGCGGUGAAAUGCGUAGAUAUGUGGAGGAACACCAGUGGCGAAGGCGACUCUCUGGUCUGUAACUGACGCUGAGGCGCGAAAGCGUGGGGAGCAAACAGGAUUAGAUACCCUGGUAGUCCACGCCGUAAACGAUGAGUGCUAGGUGUUAGGGGUUUCGAUGCCCUUAGUGCCGAAGUUAACACAUUAAGCACUCCGCCUGG
rnacentral:rRNA from 1 species